rnacentral:rRNA from 1 species
GAUGAACGCUGGCGGCGUGCCUAAUACAUGCAAGUCGAGCGAACAGACGAGGAGCUUGCUCCUCUGACGUUAGCGGCGGACGGGUGAGUAACACGUGGAUAACCUACCUAUAAGACUGGGAUAACUUCGGGAAACCGGAGCUAAUACCGGAUAAUAUAUUGAACCGCAUGGUUCAAUAGUGAAAGACGGUUUUGCUGUCACUUAUAGAUGGAUCCGCGCCGCAUUAGCUGGUUGGUAAGGUAACGGCUUACCAAGGCAACGAUGCGUAGCCGACCUGAGAGGGUGAUCGGCCACACUGGAACUGAGACACGGUCCAGACUCCUACGGGAGGCAGCAGUAGGGAAUCUUACGCAAUGGGCGAAAGCCUGACGGAGCAACGCCGCGUGAGUGAUGAAGGUCUUCGGAUCGUAAAACUCUGUUAUUAGGGAAGAACAAAUGUGUAAGUAACUAUGCACGUCUUGACGGUACCUAAUCAGAAAGCCACGGCUAACUACGUG